rnacentral:rRNA from 1 species
AACGAACGCUGGCGGCGUGCCUAACACAUGCAAGUCGAGCGAGAAAGCCCGCAAGGGUGAGUACAGCGGCGCACGGGUGCGUAACACGUGGGUAAUCUGCCCUGAAGCCCGGAAUAACCUCCCGAAAGGGAAGCUAAUACCGGAUAAGACCACGGGAGCCUCGGCUCCUGCGGGAAAAGGUGGCCUCUGCAUGCAAGCUAUCAUUUCAGGCUGAGCCCGCGGCCCAUCAGCUCGUUGGCGGGGUAAGGGCCCACCAAGGCUACGACGGGUAGCUGGUCUGAGAGGACGAUCAGCCACACUGGAACUGAGACACGGCCCAGACUCCUACGGGAGGCAGCAGUGGGGAAUAUUGGGCAAUGGGCGAAAGCCUGACCCAGCGACGCCGUGUGGGCGAUGAAGGCCUUCGGGUUGUAAAGCCCUGUGAGGUGGAAAGAAGGGCCCAGAGGUUAAUACCCUUUGGGCUUUGACGGUACCACCAGAGGAAGCACCGGCUAACUCCGUGCCAGCAGCCGCCGCAGUAA